CUACGGGGGGCUGCAGUGGGGAAUUUUGGACAAUGGGCGCAAGCCUGAUCCAGCCAUGCCGCGUGAGUGAAGAAGGCCUUCGGGUUGUAAAGCUCUUUCAGGUGGGAAGAAACGGUUAAUGUUAAUAGCAUUGACUACUGACGGUACCACCAGAAGAAGCACCGGCUAACUACGUGCCAGCAGCCGCGGUAAUACGUAGGGUGCGAGCGUUAAUCGGAAUUACUGGGCGUAAAGGGUGCGCAGGCGGUUUUGUAAGCCAGAUGUGAAAUCCCCGGGCUCAACCUGGGAACUGCAUUUGGGACUGCAAGGCUAGAGUACGGCAGAGGGGGGUAGAAUUCCACGUGUAGCAGUGAAAUGCGUAGAUAUGUGGAGGAAUACCGAUGGCGAAGGCAGCCCCCUGGGUCGAUACUGACGCUCAGGCACGAAAGCGUGGGGAGCAAACAGGAUUAGAUACCCUAGUAGUC
rnacentral:rRNA from 1 species